GAAGAAUUGAACUAAGAUAUUUAAAGUAAUUACUUUAGUACAGUACCACUCCAUCUAGGCUAACUCCUCCUUCCCUAUUACCUGUUCGGCCUUAACAAAGUGAUUAAAAUAAAGCAGACUAAAAUAAAAAUUUAAUAAAGUUGGCUCACAUGAAGGCAAACAACUCAGUACAAAAUUUAAACAAUUCACAAUCGAAUUACUCCAAAAAUUGAUCAUCAGCAAGGUAGCAAUUUUGAGUCUUAUGGAUAAAUGUUCCCAACCUAAAGAAAAUUUACCACUUAAAACAUAAUAGUGGUAAAUUACCAGACAAAAAGAGAAAAAGAAAAAUGAAACAAACCAUAUUUGCUCCCAAUAGAAGC
rnacentral:misc_RNA from 1 species